UUUGUGUUGGGUUUCGCGUUGAUCAUUGAAGAUGGUCAAUAUUACACUAAACCCAAAAAAAAUAAAAAAUAAAAAAACGACACAGAAACAGAUGGAUGAAUUUCGUAAGAAAAUAAGAUCUUGUAAUCAGGGAGCGCAUAUAUCGAAUGAUGAUGCUGAUGAUGAUCAAAACAGAAUCUACUACUAGAGGUAGAUCACUGGUGGAAAAGGAUCAAGAGGUUUGAUAUAUUCA